rnacentral:rRNA from 1 species
GGGGGACCUUCGGGCCUCUUGCCAUCGGAUGUGCCCAGAUGGGAUUAGCUUGUUGGUGGGGUAACGGCUCACCUAGGCGACGAUCCCUAGCUGGUCUGAGAGGAUGACCAGCCACACUGGAACUGAGACACGGUCCAGACUCCUACGGGAGGCAGCAGUGGGGAAUAUUGCACAAUGGGCGCAAGCCUGAUGCAGCCAUGCCGCGUGUAUGAAGAAGGCCUUCGGGUUGUAAAGUACUUUCAGCGGGGAGGAAGGGAGUAAAGUUAAUACCUUUGCUCAUUGACGUUACCCGCAGAAGAAGCACCGGCUAACUCCGUGCCAGCAGCCGCGGUAAUACGGAGGGUGCAAGCGUUAAUCGGAAUUACUGGGCGUAAAGCGCACGCAGGCGGUUUGUUAAGUCAGAUGUGAAAUCCCCGGGCUAA